rnacentral:ncRNA from 1 species
AGAAAAGCCAUGACGGAAAAGAGUAGGCUGAGGAAAGUAUACAGAGAGAAGAACAACAGGUGGAAGUUCUUUAUAUGGAAUACAGCCGAAAACCAUUCCCAAGCUGCAGUGCUGAACGAUUGUAUUACAACCGCUAUGUCCUGCCGUAUGUCUGCGUUAAAGAAUAGGAUUUGAUAGAAUCUGAAGUAAAAAGUUAAGGUGGAACCGUGCAUUAGAUUUCAUGCACCCUUAUA